AGGAAGAAGAGGAAGCAGUGCGUGGUCCAGUACUCAUUUGAUGACGACAAAGAGCAAAAUUGAAGUGAUGAUGACGAUGAUGAAAUUGAUGUUAAGAAUCUGCAUGAAUAUGAAUUAAGUAGGCCAAGGUACAAGAUGCUGAGGAUGAAGAUUUGCUCCUGAUGAUGAGUUUGAAGACGAGGAUAUAGAUGACGAGCUAGAUCCUGCAAUGGAAGAACAAAUUGAUAGCUAAAAGGUUUUGAGUUGAUAAAAGGUGUCCACCUUGACCUAAUACCAUUUGACAUGAACUGAGAUCUUCUCACCCCAACUUCCACGAAGAUGAGAGACAAGUUUCUCAAAUACUAUCAGGUAAGCUCAUUAUGCACUUAGAUUGGUCAAAGACUGAGAGACAAGUGGGGAAGUACCAUGUGUGACAAUGUUUGGUCAUUAGAUAAAUAAUUUACGUGUUCUGUAGAACCCUAUGUUUCAUGGAGUGCUUUUGGUUUCUAAUUUUA